UUGCCUGGCGAAUACGCCCCGAAGAGGCGUGGUUAUAGAAGGUGCACGCGGGGAUUGCCUGCCUGUGGGCCAGAGAGAGCUAGAGUGUCUGUCUCCCUGUGUCAGUCUGUCCGUGCUCUCCGCUACCCCCGGCCAUGGACCCUGCCCUGCUAGAGGUUCUCAUUACCACUCUCUACGGCUUGCAUGUCCAGUCUCAGGAUUACAGGUGUGCAACUCUCGUUGAUGCCUAGAAACAUGGCACCAGAUGCAGAGAAAAAUGGAUGACCAUAUGAAAGCACAUCAAUAAAAGUUGACCUGAACUGCAACCAUUACACCCUGACUAGUAAGUUGCUUCUCAUUGAAUUCUUCCUAUUUGCUUGAUCUCGCUAUAAAAAAAAUCAGACAUACAGGAAUAGAAAAUAGAGGUUUAGC